rnacentral:rRNA from 1 species
AAUGAACGCUGGCGGCAGGCCUAACACAUGCAAGUCGAGCGGAGUUGCGGACGGGCGAGUAAUGCCUACGAAUCUGCCUGGUAGUGGGGGGUGACGUCCGGAAACGGGCGCUAAUCUCGCAUAGUUUUAGAUGAGCCUAGGUCGGAUGAGCUAGUUGGAUGGGUAAAUGCCUACCAAGGCGACGAUCCGUAGCUGAUCUGAGAGGGUGAUCAGUCACACUGGAACUGAGACACGGUCCAGACGCCUACGGGAGGCAGCAGUGGGGAAUAUUGGACAAUGGGCGAAAGCCUGAUCCAGCCAUGCCGCGUGUGUGAAGAAGGUCUUCGGAUUGUAAAACACUGUAAGUAGGGAGGCGUUACCUAAAGAGAAAGCACCGGCUAACUUCGUGCCAGCAGCCGCGGUAAUAC